AUUGAACGCUGGCGGCAGGCCUAACACAUGCAAGUCGAGCGGAGCGGCGGACGGGUGAGUAAUGCCUAGGAAUCUGCCUGGUAGUGGGGGAUAACGUCCGGAAAAGGGCGCUAAUACCGCAUACUAUCAGAUGAGCCUAGGUCGGAUUAGCUAGUUGGGGGGGUAAAGGCCUACAAAGGCGACGAUCCGUCACUGGUCUGAGAGGAUGAUCAGUCACACUGGAACUGGGACACGGUCCAGACUCCUACGGGAGGCAGCAGUGGGGAAGAUUGGACAAGGGGCGAAAGCCUGAUCCAGCCAUGCCGCGUGUGUGAAGAAGGUCUUCGGAUUGUAAAGCACUUUAAGUUGGGAGGCGUUACCAACAGAAUAAGCACCGGCUAACUUCGUGCCAGCAGCCGCGGUAAUAC
rnacentral:rRNA from 1 species